GAUGGGAAGUAUGAGGAGGCAUUGGAGAAGUUCGAGUCAGUUUUGGGAUCGAAACCGGAGAGCAAUGAGGCUUCCAUUGCCAGCUACAAUGUUGCCUGCUGCUACUCCAAACUCGACCGGGUUCGAUACUUAUCUAAUCUCUCACUAUGCAUAGCAUGUCUGCUACUGAAUACUCAUAUGAGCAUUCCUCUGCCCAGAUACAAGCAGGGCUUUCUGCAUUGGAAGACGCCCUGAAAGCAGGAUAUGAAGACUAUAAGGUAACUAGAGAAUAGCUCUGUUGCCACAUGAGAAUCAAUGGUUCCUAACUAGUGACACACAUCUUAUUUUAAUUCCUACAGCGAAUCCGCACCGACCCGGAUCUCGAAAACUUGAGGAAAUCGGAGCAAUUCGAUCCCCUGAUGAAGAACUACGACGAGUCGUUCAUCAACGAGAACGCCCUCAAUGCCAUCAAAUCCUUGUUCAGAUUCGGCAAGAACUGAGCAACUGAAACAUGGUAGCAGCAGCAGGCAAUGCCACUCUUGUCUGGUCUUGCAGAGCCUACUGUGCUAAGCUCAUGCCCGUACAGUUCGUUCCCCUCUCCAGUAGGUUGCGGUUCACACCUGUAGCUUAGCAAUUCUUGGUGAGACAUGUACUUAACCAUUUGAUG
rnacentral:lncRNA from 1 species